rnacentral:rRNA from 1 species
AAGCGCCGCGAAGUAKAKUUUARAUAAGGUAAAACAUUAUAAAUAAUAAUAUAUUGGUUUAUUAUUUGUAUAUCUCUUUUUAUUUAAAAAUUGAUUUGAUUAUUCAUUUAUUUGAAUAGUUAAUGUAGUUAUUCUUUAAUUUAUAAUUUUAUUAUAUUUUUUACUAGGUACCUAACUGCUUUUUUUUUAGGUCUAAUUAGUUUCGACUAACCCAUCUGAGUAACAUCUCAAAAGUCAUAGCAAGGUAGCUUGUACUGGAAA